AGGCGAGUGAAUCGCCUUCUUUUCGCCAUUUUGGGCGCGGCGUGUGUUAGAAUUGUACAAAACAAACACUGGUCUAUCGUCCGCCCUCUGCCGGCUACGAAAAGUUAGACUUUUAAAAAAAACUUGAACUAAUCUUCUAACAUUCUUGUAAUAAAGUAUUUUUUUUUUUAAAUUUGUAACGCGAAAAAAAAAAAAACUUGGCUGAACUCCAACUAGCAGACGUUUAUCUCUGCAUUGAUAUGCUAAUUUAAAACCUAUCCAGUCGACAUGACUGGUAAUUCGCGCGAUACGUUUGCCGCUAUUCUGCUAAAUAGGUGUUCGCGGCGACCAGCAAAUUGCCACACCUGGGCUGUCAGCGUCCCCUGUCACAGGUUUCAUUCAUAGGGUUGGAGCAGUUGUACAUAUGCAU